CGGAACACGUACGCAACAUACCUUUAUCUGGGGCAUAGCCCGGAGAAAUCCGGAUUAACACCCCAUAAGAUUGUGGAGAGGCAUCUCUCAGCAAUUAAAAAUUUAUUGGAUAGAGAUUGGCGUGCGUCCUAUUAGGUAGUUGGUGGGGUAAUGGCCUACCAAGCCGACGAUAGGUAGCUGGUGUGAGAGCACGACCAGCCACACGGGCACUGAGACACGGGCCCG
rnacentral:rRNA from 1 species